UGAAAAUCUCAUGUAAUUUAAGACAUGGCCAUUCCUCUUCCCUCAUAAUUUAUGUUAUGUACUCAAAAAUCAAUGAUCAUUCAUUCUGGAGCAAAGGAUCUGUAGCUUAUUUUGCAUUUGGGUGCGUGAACGUCUUUGAAAACUCUUCCCGCAUAGUACAUUAAUUCCAGUUUUCUCCAAGCCAAGUUACAAGAAGCAGCAAAGACAUGCCCCCAUAAAAGUUGAGGAACUUGUGAUGUGUGAGCUAAUUAGAUGUGUCAAUUAUCUAACUUUCUUUUUUAUUUUGGAAGUUUGUUUCCAGCCAAUGUCGCCAAAUUAAUUUUGGUAUCUAGGCACGGGAGACGUUGGGAGUUUCACCAAAUUAUGUCGUCAGUCCAUCAUCUACCGAGUGAGGAAUCCGUAGGAUAGUAAAGGUUUUUCCUAUCCCAAAAGCUAACUAGUGAGGUGUGAGACUCCUCCACUUAUAUAUUAGGUCAUUUGUCCUUCCACGACCAACAUG
rnacentral:lncRNA from 1 species